rnacentral:rRNA from 1 species
UACGUAGGGCGCAAGCGUUGUCCGGAAUCAUUGGGCGUAAAGAGCUCGUAGGCGGCCUGUUGCGUCCGCUGUGAAAUCCCGGGGCUUAACCCCGGGCGUGCAGUGGAUACGGGCUGGCUGGAGGCAGGCAGGGGAGAACGGAAUUCCCGGUGUAGCGGUGAAAUGCGCAGAUAUCGGGAGGAACACCGGUGGCGAAGGCGGUUCUCUGGGCCUUACCUGACACUGAGGGAGCGAAAGCGUGGGGAGCGAACAGG